rfam:Danio rerio chromosome 21, GRCz11 reference primary assembly.
GCCGGCAGCUAGCUCUCUGUAACUCACAUGGUCGCCCACUGAAACUAAGCAGGGCUGCACCUGGUCAGUACUUGGAUGGGAGACCACAUAGGAAAGCUAAGUUGCCGCAGGAA